GACGAACGCUGGCGGCGUGCUUAACACAUGCAAGUCGAACGGAAAGUGCCCUUUGGGGUGACUCGAGUGGCGAACGGGUGAGUAACACGUGGGUGAUCUGCCCUGCACUUUGGGAUAAGCCUGGGAAACUGGGUCUAAUACCGGAUAGGACCAUGGCCUGCAUGGGGUGUGGUGGAAAGCUUUUGCGGUGUGGGAUGGGCCCGCGGCCUAUCAGCUUGUUGGUGGGGUGAUGGCCUACCAAGGCUACGACGGGUAGCCGGCCUGAGAGGGUGUCCGGCCACACUGGGACUGAGAUACGGCCCAGACUCCUACGGGAGGCAGCAGUGGGGAAUAUUGCACAAUGGGCGCAAGCCUGAUGCAGCGACGCCGCGUGGGGGAAUGACGGCCUUCGGGUUGUAAACCUCUUUCACCAUCGACGAAGCCUUUGGGUGACGGUAGGUGGAGAAGAAGCACCGGCCAACUACGUGCCAGCCGCCGCGGUAAUAC
rnacentral:rRNA from 1 species